CCCCGGGCUGGGGAGCCCAGACCCCGGCAGUCCAGCAGCCUACAGACGAUCCAUGUCCGUCGUGUAACUCACCGCGCUGGGGAUCCGCCUCCUCCCGCCAGGGCGAGGGCGCCGUCCUCCCGCGUGUGCUGCGCAGGCGCGCCCCGCCCGCCCGGUCACGCGCUACAGUGCUCGGGCACGGGAUCACGCCUACAGCCCAAGAGGCUGGGAAAAUGCCGCCCUGUCCCUGAACAGGAAGCGGAAGCAGGAAGGAACUGAGAACACUGGCAUCUGCUACCGCCCUGAAUCAGCGUUGGCAUGUGGAGGCAACCUCAGCCCCCAGUUUUUUGAAAAGGUAAUUCGGAUUUGUACCCAGGAAUUAUGGUGAGGAUAGAAAUGGACUGGAAGGUUCCUUCCCCUUGCCCACCAAGACUCCAGAGCAGGUGGGUUCCUGAUGUCUACUCUGCAUGAAGCCCUGGGCUUUCCACACCUCCCUACUUUUCCUCCGAACUCACAGCACAGCUGAGCCAAAAUGUAUUCCUGCCAAAACGGGCAUUUCCCAAAAGAAAAUACUGUUUUAGA